CAAGCAUUCUCUCUUUGCAGCUAGCACAGAGUUGCUUAGGAUGAUUCCCCUGUGGGUAUUGUUGGAAUGAGUUUCCCAAUGUAGGUGAACUGUGGAGGUUGACGAUUUAUUCUCCAAGAAAUGAACAUCCUACUUCUCGCCAAGGGUGAGCCCCUGUCCAGAGUUGCCGAUCUUACUCAGCAGAGUCCAGACCUGCACCUCCUCUUUCAGCCCUGCCUUCCCAUGAGUUUUCACAACACUUCAGCAAGCCAGGAAAAGGCUGAGCCUGCCAGAACCAAAAGUGGUGUGUACAACUUUAGCAUAAAAGGUUAAAAACAAUUAAAAUAACC